rnacentral:rRNA from 1 species
GAGCACGUAGGUGGGUUUGUAAGUCAGAUGUGAAAGCCUUCUGUUCAACGGAAGAAUUGCAUCUGAAACUGCGAGUCUUAAGUGUAGGAGGGGAGAAUGGAACUUCUGGUGGAGCGGUGAAAUGCGUAGAUAUCAGAAGGAACGCCGGCGGCGAAAGCGAUUCUCUGGCCUAUUACUGACACUCAGUGUGCGAAAGCUAGGGGAGCAAACGGGAUUAGAUACCCCGGUAGUCCUAGCCGUAAACGAUGGGCACUAAGUAGAGGGAAUUACCGAUGUUCUCUCUGCCGUAGCUAACGCAUUAAGUGCCCCGCCUGGGGAGUACGGCCGCAAGGCUAAAACUCAAAAGAAUUGACGGGGGCUCGCACAAGCGGUGGAGCAUGUGGCUUAAUUCGAUGCAACGCGAAGAACCUUACCGGGGCUUGACAUGGUAGAAGUAGGAACCCGAAAGGGUAACGAACGGUAUCCAGUCCGUAGCUAUCACAGGUGUUGCAUGGCUGUCGUCAGCUCGUGUCGUGAGACGUUUGGGUUAAGUCCCCUAACGAGCGAAACCCUUGUUUUUAAGUUACCAGCGGGUUGUGCCCGGGUACUCUAGAAAGACUGCCGUCGUCAAGACGGAGGAAGGUGGGGAUGACGUCAAGGUCAUCAUGGGCCCUUAUGCCCCGGGGCUG